rnacentral:rRNA from 1 species
AUUGAACGCUGGCGGCAGGCUUAACACAUGCAAGUCGAGCGGAGCGGCGGACGGGUGAGUAAUGCAUAGGAAUCUGCCUGGUAGUGGUGGAUAACGUCCGUAAACGGGCGCUAAUACCGCAUACUAUCAGAUGAGCCUAGGUCGGAUUAGCUAGUUGGUGGGGUAACGGCCUACCAAGUCGACGACCCGUAACUGGUCUGAGAGGAUGACCAGUCACACUGGAACUGAGACACGGUCCAGACUCCUACGGUAGGCAGCAGUAGGGAAGAGUGAACAAUGGGGGAAAGCCUGAUCCAGCCAUGCCGCGUGUGUGAAGAAGGUCUGCGGAUUGUAAAGUACUUUCAGUUGGGAGGCGUUACCAACAGAAUAAGCACCGGCUAACUCCGUGCCAGCAGCCGCGGUGAUUC